AGAUAUACAAACCUUCCUGUGUGUCUGAUGUGAACAUUAACCAAACGAUGGUUGUCCCAAAUACACUGAGGCAAAGAGCCAAUGCAACUCCGAAAAUUUCUCAUCUUUUCUCACAAACAAGAGGGACAUUUGUGAAUGGAGAUUAUGUAGUAACUAAGAAAACUGAGAGGAAUAAUUUCAUUUACUAUGAAAUUGAAGAUGAUACAGGGAAAAUGGAAGUGGUGGUUCAUGGACGACUCACCAAUAUCAGGUGUGAACGAGGCAGUAAACUUAGACUUGUCUGCUUUGAAUUGACUUCCACUGAAGAUUCAUGGCAGCUGAAGUCUGUAAGUCACAGUUAUAUGCAGGUCAUCAGUGCCAGAAUGUGAAGGAAAUCCAGUCAACUGACAUUCAGUUAUGAGAAUCUCUCUGGAACCAUACUUCUGAAAACCUGGAUGCCAGUGAUACUGUUUGCGGAGAUAAGACUCAAGUACAGAAAAUAAAUGUGCUUGUAGCCCGUUGAAAUACCA
rnacentral:lncRNA from 1 species